rnacentral:rRNA from 1 species
GACGUAGGGCGCGAGCGUUGUCCGGAUUUAUUGGCGUAAAGAGCUCGUAGGCGGCUUGUCGCGUCGACUGUGAAACCCGAGGCUCAACUUCGGGCUUGCAGUCGAUACGGGCAGGCUUGAGUUCGGUAGGGAGACUGGAAUUCCUGGUGUAGCGGUGGAAUGCGCAGAUAUCAGGAGGAACACCGGUGGCGAAGGCGGGUCUCUGGGCAGUAACUGACGCUGAGGAGCGAAAGCGUGGGGAGCGAACAGG